UGCCGGAUCGUCUAAUGGUAGGACGAAUGACUCUGACUCAUUUAGUCGAGGUUCGAAUCCUCGUCCGGCAGCCA
rnacentral:tRNA from 1 species